CUAUAUAAUUUUCAUACUUAAAAUGCAUUGUAUAUUUGUGACUGAACUUUGUCCCAAAGUCCAGCAAGCCAAACUCUACGAUGCAGAGAUUUGCAGCAGAGAAACAGUUUAUGCACAAAGUGGCCAAGUGAGGAGACAGAAGAACAGUUCUCAAAUCUGCCUCCCCCAAGCUCAUGAAGGUAAAUAUGCCAUCGGCACUGGUCCAGUCUAACUCUUCUUUAUUAAAAAGGAGAGAGCAGAGCUAUUCAUGGGGAGCUGAGACUUAAUCUGUUUUCCUCCCAAGAAGAACAAUUUUAAAUCACUUGUGUGAUUUGUUUUGUGGAUCCAUGAUGCCCACAUCAAGAGACACCUUCAAAGAUGAGGGAGAAAGGAAGCACAUGAAGAAAUAUGUCUCUAAAGAAGAGAAAUAGUCAUCCUCUGCUUGGAGGCGGCUUGAGAGCGAGAAUCUUUUUUAAAGCUAUAGUUCCAGGUCCUGGAGUGAAGAGAAAGGAGAAGGUGGUGAUGGAAUCAUCAGAAAGGAAGGAGAAAUGAAGCAAAGUACUGGUGGCACAGGCUUUUCUACAAUUCAACAACAUCAGAAAAGACAUACAUUUGUUAUUGAAUCUUUGAAAGGCCAGCUACAGUCCAAACGGCCUCUCUGGGAGAUAUGUCCUUUGAAACAACUUUUUGUCUCUUGACUUCCUACGUCUCUGGGAUUCAGCACACCCUACAGUGUUUACCGAGGUAACAUGACUCUAAAGGGCUACUCUCAAAGGUCCAAACAAAAUUAAAGGUACGCCUCCAUUGGGAAAAAUCUUGAAUUCCAAGUCCUUUUAUUUCCUAAGAAGUAUGCUUUUGUGAGAAAGUUGAUAUGAAGAAAGCCAAUUGCUUAUAAAGUUACAGCCUUGAAAAGUAAAAGGGAAAGAUAAGUAAAAAGAGAACUUAUAAGGAGCUAAACAACCAUGGAAGCUCUGCGCCCAAAAGCUCUUGGAACACCAGUCAAAUGGCCCCGGCGGGAGUGGGGGGGGGGUGCUGCUCGGUAAGAUGUGGGGGCUCGGAAGAGCCACAGGAAUGGGACCCAGGUCGCUCAGGUGCUUCCUAAUCUUCCUCCUUUCCUGCCUGCUCCCUCCAACCCCCGUCCCCACCCCCUCUCAGGUCCGGGGAGGCUGAGCCUUUUCUCCCACAGGUGAGACCUACCCCGGGCUGGAGCGCAGAGCCAGCGCCUGUCCGGAGGCUCAGGCAGCCCCAGCCUUUCCCGUGGUGUUCCUAAUUAAGAAUCCAAGCUGGCUGUUCCCCCUUGGCGCUCCAGGGGCUGGAGAGGCCGGGUGCUAGCGAAAGCAGACAGGAGCGCUCCCAUCCCCUUCCCUCCUCCCGCGACCCUGGAACCGAGAGGAAAAAAAAGAAAAAGUUAUUUAUUGUAGCGCAACACCAUCAGGAUUCUUUCCCACUCCGUCUUCCGACUCACUGCCACCUUGCAGGGAAAUAAUAGCUUCGGCCACACUGGCUUUCCCGGUCGGCUUUCCGGAUGACUGAAUUUCUUUGCUCCUCACUCUUGUCGGGGACCAUCUGAAACUGCCCCCAAGUUGCGUUCCCAGGGGACCUCCCCGCCUGGCUUCCAUUCGGGGACCAAAGAGGAGCUCAUGUCGGCAUCCUUCAUAGGACGAACCCCUUCCAGGCUGGAUAAACCAAACUGGGAAAAGAAAAAUGGGUACGGGGCGAGGAGGACUGCUCCUGAAGACCUCGCCCCUCCUCGGCCUCCGGACCCCUGCGGGCGCCCACAGCGAGCCACGUGGGGAGGCCCCAAGACCGGCGCACCCCCCCCCCCACACACACACAAGGACUUUGGAAAAGAAACUACUAAGAACAAUGAACCCCGGAGGACAGAGGGAGGUGGGGGGGGUGGGUUGAGAACCCUCAUCUUUCACCCCUCCCCCUUUUGGGGACAUUCCCUAGGUUUAAUCAUUAAAGUGGAUCCUUUUUUAAAAGGAGGCAGCGGCUUAAUGCUGCAGUUUCUGACAAUCUGCCCCACACACUGUCAGCGAAAUGAAAGAUCUGGAUCGAGCUUUGUUGCUUCGCUACCAAUAGCAGAGUUGGGGAGACCAAGCCUCCGAUUUCUGGCCACAUCAAAGCAGUGAUUAUGCAAAUACCCAUUUUUUUAAAGACUAAAAUGGACGGGGAAUUAUUUAUCACACAAUGAACCCCCUGCCGGGGUAGGAAACAAUAGACCAGAUAGCCCUUCUAGCCCCAGGCUGGGGGAGCUAAAAAGGGGGUGCUGGAGCCCUCACGUUUUAUUGGUCUAACCUAAUUUCACUAAUUCUCUUUUCACACGUUUUCUUUUGCGGAUUCUGAGGCCGGGACUUUCACGCUCCCGGGAGCGCCCUGCAUUGGCGCGAUUCAAGGGCUGCCUGCUUUAUUUAAUUAAUACAUUCAAAGCUCGCCUGGGACCCGAGAGCCUCGGGGUGGGGGGAGGCCGAGGCCAGGCGUGAGGGGAAGGCGCUUUUAACGGGUUCCAGGUGUCGAUGCCCAGAAGUCACAACCUGCCCAAGGCUGUGCGAUGCAGGGGGUGCACGCGGUGGGCGGGCGCCGGCUUGCCACUCCCAGCCUCUCCGGCAGACCCGGCCCUGCUGCGGCCGGGAGCCCCGGGCUUAGAUGCCGUCUGCGGGUAACGGGCUAACCCUAAGGAAGGAGCCACCGAACCCUUGCUCCAAUUGGCCAAGGCUGCCCAGGGCCUUCCGACCACCUCACCUCCACCCGGCUGGCAGGGCUCUGCGGCGAAGGCGCCCACCCGGCUUCUGCUCUGGUUGGGGGCGGGGGAUGCUCUGGAUGCCCGAGCUCUCCUCUCCCCCACCUCGCCUGGUAGCCCGCCUCCCUGCCUCUUUUUCUCCCUGUUCGCCCUCUGAUGGAUUUCUUUUAAAUCUAGUGAAGGAAAAAUCCCCCUUAACGAGGCCUGGGUAAUUCAGAACAGCAAAAACGCAAUCGAUGUCCAAAGCCUGGCGGCGUGGAAGCGAAGACCCAGCCAGGACAGGACCAGCCCUCGCACCUCAUCGCACUUCGGUAAACACGCCCGCCGCGCCCCUGGUCUGAAAAGAUCCGGCAACCCUUGGGGGAAGAACAUCUCUAUGACUUUGCUUGAAACGUCGCCCAGCAGAGAACUCCAGAAAUAGAAGGACCCCUGGGUGCAGACAGAGCACCUUGUCCCAAGGCGGUGAGGGAAAUGGAUAAAAUCGAAGAGCGGCUAUAUUCCCUACAGCUGAAGCUUCUGCCCUUUAAUUCUCACUCCUGGGAGGGAGGGGAGAGGACGACUGGGCCUCAGCCCACAGGCUGUGGAGUUGCUGGGGGUUGGGGAAGAGAACUCCCAGCGAGAAGUGAGGCAGAAAGAACAUUCGUAACUGCUAAAAGUGAUUAGUCGCCAUAAAAAGUAAUUGCACCAAUUUUAGUGUAAAAUAAAGGAGGUAGGGAAGGGAAAGCGUGCGUGAAAAUUACAGAAGGUAGACGGAAUUUCUGCCGUGUGAGACGUGCUGCUGGUGUAUAAGGGGACGUGCAAGCUUGCAUUGAAGGGGUCUCUGAUCCUGGAGAAAUUGUGUAGAAGUGGCUGCUAGAUUCAACUAGGUUGCAGCUUAAGUGCUUAGCUGAAUCACCAUUACUCAAAGCUGUGAUUCUUGACCUCUCUCCCCAUCCCAGCCUCUCCAAAUAAGCCCGUUGAGGUCACCACCUGUUUAUGGGAUCCCCUCAUCCGUUGAAGUUUCUCAAGCACCUGCAGCUGAGGAUUUUCCGCCUCAGACCUGUGCCAUGAGCUGUUUCCUCGGCAAGUUUUCAAAAAAAGCACCCUAUAAUCACCAUAAACAUGAUCAUCACUAAAAGAACCGUUAUUUGGCAUCAAAACUGUGAUAUUUUAAAACUCUCAUACUACAGGUGCUUUGCUUGCUGGCUUGGCUUUUUAAACAGUAGAAACAAGACACUAAAACACUAAGGUGAAUGUAAGAGAAGUAUCACUUUCUCUUCAUAUUAGCUAAUCAAGAGUGACUAAGAAUAAUACAAUCUUGAAGGCUUCCAGCUUCAACAGGGAGUUUCAACAGGUCUUCCAGAGAUGAAAACCAAACAAACCCUGAGUUAGUUCUUCCUUUGAUUGAAAGUGAAGUUAUUAAGAUAUUCAACACUUAGUAUUUUCCAUAUGGAUGGAUAGGAGGAGGAGUUUCAGAUGAACACCUCAGAAGAAUUAUCCUUGCUUCACGCAGAGUGGAGGAUUUAGCUCAAACUGUAAGCAGAUAUAAAACUCAUGAGGGAGGGGGAGACUGCACAACCAACAUUUCUUUGCUAAUCUGACCUUUUAGCUUGUGUUGUCCUGAUCACCCUUCCCCCAAGAGGCUUAAACCUAGAAUGUGGUCAACCUUCACUUGGUCAACUUUCACCCAAGGCCAAAGUCAUUCAUUUCUGCUUUGGAGAUUGGGGUGCAAGUUACAGAAUUAUGUAUCCUGAAGAUUGGAAAUCGUCUUUGCUUUCUCUUUGAGGAAGUUUUGACCAUGUAACUAUUUUAACAAAGAUUGGAUUGGCUAAUAUGAAAUCAGCUUCCAGUAAUGAAUUUAUAAACACUGCUACACUACAGAUGGUAGGGCUGGAAGCCACCUUAGAGAUCACUGUCCAGUUGCUUCAGCUCACAAAUAAUCCAAGCUCUGAGAAGUGAAAGAACCAAAUUUCUGCUCACUCUACCAAGAAAUUUCAACUUCACUUUUUGAAAUCAAAGUUUCUGAACUUUGGUGCUUAUCAUGACUUAAUUAUCAUUUAAAUCCCCCCCUUUUUUCCCACUAAUCUUGCUUGCUCAGAAAUUGAUUUCUUAAAAACCAAGUUUGGUUUGUAUUGAGAGUUACUUUUAUGUCAAUGUUAGUGUCUCGAGUAGAGUUCAGCUUCCUAUGAUCGCUCAGACUUUGUGUGUCAGUGAAAUUCUACAUACAAACAGAUGAAAAACACAAGUCAUCUACUUAAUUUGAUAUGGGGAGAAUUUCAGAAAAAUGCAACUCAUUCUUCUAAAAACCACCUAAGCAGGAAAAAAUUAUAAU